UACGAAGGGGGCUAGCGUUGCUCGGAAUCACUGGGCGUAAAGCGCACGUAGGCGGAUUGUUAAGUCAGGGGUGAAAUCCUGGGGCUCAACCUCGGAACUGCCUCUGAUACAGCAAGUCUUGAGUCCGGAAGAGGUGGGUGGAAUUCCUAGUGUAGAGGUGAAAUUCGUAGAUAUUAGGAAGAACACCGGUGGCGAAGGCGGCCCACUGGUCCGGUACUGACGCUGAGGUGCGAAAGCGUGGGGAGCAAACAGG
rnacentral:rRNA from 1 species